rnacentral:tRNA from 1 species
GCGCGAGUGCUGGAAUUGGUUAGACAGGCUGGCCUUAGAAGCCAGUGUCCUAGUGGCGUGAGGGUUCGAGUCCCUCCUCGCGCA